AAACGUAGGGUGCAAGCGUUGUCCGGAAUUACUGGGUGUAAAGGGAGCGCAGGCGGACCGGCAAGUUGGAAGUGAAAACCAUGGGCUCAACCCAUGAAUUGCUUUCAAAACUGCUGGCCUUGAGUAGUGCAGAGGUAGGUGGAAUUCCCGGUGUAGCGGUGGAAUGCGUAGAUAUCGGGAGGAACACCAGUGGCGAAGGCGACCUACUGGGCACCAACUGACGCUGAGGCUCGAAAGCAUGGGUAGC
rnacentral:rRNA from 1 species